rnacentral:misc_RNA from 1 species
GAUGAAGAACGUAGCGAAAUGCGAUAAGUAGUGUGAAUUGCAGAAUUCAGUGAAUCAUCGAAUCUUUGAACGCACAUUGCGCCCGCCAGCAUUCUGGCGGGCAUGCCUGUUCGAGCGUCAUUUCAACCCUCGACCUCCCCUUGGGGAGGUCGGCGUUGGGGACCGGCAGCACACCGCCGGCCCUGAAAUGGAGUGGCGGCCCGUCCGCGGCGACCUCUGCGCAGUAAUACAGCUCGCACCGGGACCCCGACGCGGCCACGCCGUAAAACACCCAACUGCUGAACGUUGACCUCGAAUCAGGUAGGACUACCCGCUGAACUUAAGCAUAUCAAUAAGCGGAGGA